CUAACCGUAAACGAUGCAAACUAGCGAUCCGUUGGCGUUAAAAAUAUGACUCCACGGGCAGCUUCCGGGAAACCAAAGUGUUUCUGUUCCGGGGGAAGUAUGGUUGCAAAGCUGAAACUUAAAGGAAUUGACGGAAGGGCACCACCAGGAGUGGAGCCUGCGGCUUAAUUUGACUCAACGCGGGAAAUCUCACCCGGCCCUGACACUGUAAGGAUUGACAGAUUGAUAGCUCUUUCUUGAUUCGGUGGGUGGUGGUGCAUGGCCGUUCUUAGUUGGUGGAGCGAUUUGUCUGGUUAAUUCCGAUAACGAACGAGACUCUAGCCUACUAAAUAGUGAAUAAAUUCUUUGGUUUGUUAACUUCUUAGAGGGAUAAGUGGUGUUUAGCCACACGAGAUUGAGCAAUAACAGGUCUGUGAUGCCCUUAGAUGUUCGGGGCUGCACGCGCGCUACACUGAAGAAUAGAGCGUGUAUUAAAGCCUUUUCCGGAAGGAAUGGGUAACCCUUUGAAACUUCUUCGUGCUUGGGAUAGGGAAUUGAAAUUAUUUCCCUUUAACGAGGAAUUCCUAGUAAGUGCGGGUCAUUAUCUCGCGUUG
rnacentral:rRNA from 1 species